rnacentral:rRNA from 1 species
CCUACGGGGGGCAGCAGUGGGGAAUAUUGCACAAUGGGCGCAAGCCUGAUGCAGCCAUGCCGCGUGUGUGAAGAAGGCCUUCGGGUUGUAAAGCACUUUCAGCGGGGAGGAAGGCGGUGAGGUUAAUAACCUCAUCGAUUGACGUUACCCGCAGAAGAAGCACCGGCUAACUCCGUGCCAGCAGCCGCGGUAAUACGGAGGGUGCAAGCGUUAAUCGGAAUUACUGGGCGUAAAGCGCACGCAGGCGGUCUGGCAAGUCGGAUGUGAAAUCCCCGGGCUCAACCUGGGAACUGCAUUCGAAACUGGCAGGCUAGAGCCUUGUAGAGGGGGGUAGAAUUCCAGGUGUAGCGGUGAAAUGCGUAGAGAUCUGGAGGAAUACCGGUGGCGAAGGCGGCCCCCUGGACAAAGACUGACGCUCAGGUGCGAAAGCGUGGGGAGCAAACAGGAUUAGAUACCCGUGUAGUC